GAGUUUGAUCGUGGCUCACGACGAACGCUGGCGGCGUGCUUAACACAUGCAAGUCGAACGAGAAUCUACUGAAAGAGUUUUCGGACAAUGGAAGUAGAGGAAAGUGGCGGACGGGUGAGUAACGCGUGAGGAACCUGCCUUGAAGAGGGGGACAACAGUUGGAAACGACUGCUAAUACCGCAUGAUGCAUAAGGGUCGCAUGAUUCUUAUGCCAAAGAUUUAUCGCUUCAAGAUGGCCUCGCGUCUGAUUAGCUAGUUGGCGGGGUAACGGCCCACCAAGGCGACGAUCAGUAGCCGGACUGAGAGGUUGAACGGCCACAUUGGGACUGAGAUACGGCCCAGACUCCUACGGGAGGCAGCAGUGGGGAAUAUUGGGCAAUGGGCGCAAGCCUGACCCAGCAACGCCGCGUGAAGGAGAAGGCUUUCGGUAUGUAAACUUCUAUCAGCAGGGAAGAAAAUGACGGUACCUGACUAAGAAGCCCCGGCUACUACGUGCCAGCAGCCGCGGU
rnacentral:rRNA from 1 species